rnacentral:rRNA from 1 species
AACGAACGCUGGCGGCAGGCUUAACACAUGCAAGUCGAACGGUUGUAGCAAUACAGCAGUGGCGCACGGGUGAGUAACGCGUGGAUAUCUGCCUUUUGGUUCGGAAUAACUCCGGGAAACUGGAGCUAAUACCGGAUGGUUCCUACGGGAUAAAGAUUUAUCGCCAAAAGAUGAGUCCGCGUACGAUUAGCUAGUUGGUGAGGUAAUGGCUCACCAAGGCGACGAUCGUUAGCUGGUCCGAGAGGACGAUCAGCCACACUGGGACUGAGACACGGCCCAGACUCCUACGGGAGGCAGCAGUGGGAAUAUUGGACAAUGGGGGCAACCCUGAUCCAGCCAUGCCGCGUGAGUGAUGAAGGCCUCGGGUUGUAAAGCUCUUUGGUCGGGGACGAUGAUGACGGUACCCGCAGAAUAAGCCCGGCUAACUUCGUGCCAGCAGCCGCGGUAA